rnacentral:rRNA from 1 species
AAACUAAUUUAAUUUGGCGGCAUUUCAUUUAAUUAGAGGAAUCUGUCUUUUAAUCGAUAAUCCACGUUACGUUUCACUUUAAUUCCAUAAUUCAUAUAUCGCCAUCUCAAGAAAUAAUUUAAAAAUAUUUUUCUCAAAAAUAAAUAACAUGUUAGGUCAAGGUGUAGUUCAUAUUAAAGAAUAUGAUGAAUUACAUUAAAUAAAAUUUAAGGAUCCUAAAUAAUUAUAUUUACUUAAAUAAGAAUUUAAAAGUAUUAUUUUAAUAAUAAUAAAAUAUGAUAUAAAUAACAAAUGUGUACACAUCGCCC